AAGGAUUCCCNAGUAGCUGCGAGCGAACAGGGAAAAGCCCAGCACCGAAUCCCGCGGCCGGUCGCGGUCGCAGGGAAAUGUGGUGUUAGGGAGGACGUCAUGUCCCGAGCUCGCGCGGCGCGUCCAAGUCCUUCUUGAACGGGGCCACAGCCCAUAGAGGGUGCCAGGCCCGUAGAGACCGCCGCCGAGAACGGGGUGAUCCCUCCUAAGAGUCGGGUUGCUUGAGAGUGCAGCCCUAAGUGGGUGGUAAACUCCAUCUAAGGCUAAAUACGACCACGAGACCGAUAGCGAACAAGUACCGUGAGGGAAAGUUGAAAAGAACUUUGAAGAGAGAGUUCAAUAGUACGUGAAACCGUUCAGGGGUAAACCUGAGAAGCCCGAAAGGUCGAAAGGGGAGAUUCAUUCGGGUUUCGUGUCGCCGAGUUCGGCGAGGCCGCGUGACGGAAGGCCGCGUGUCUGUCCGCACCUCUCGUCGUUCGUUAGUGGCGAGCGAACCCGUGCACUUCUCCUCGAGUAGGACGUCGCGAUCCGUUAGGUACCGGUCUAAGGCCCGCGGUGGAGCCCGUGCGGACGGUUCUCCGUUUCCCGCUCGGACCCGCGGUGUUCCCGGCCGGCUAACCUGACGGUGUACAGAAGGCGCGGGGCCGCGACUCUUGACAGUUCGCGUCCGGCCCGCAGCAAGCACGUUCGUGCGCGUCCGGCGAACGGAUUCCGUUCCGAUCCCGGCCCACGAUGGCUGUUCGCUGCGGUGUUCUCGGACAGACCUCGUUGAAACGCCGAUCUGCGACGCCGUAGCUUUGGGUACUUUCAGGACCCGUCUUGAAACACGGACCAAGGAGUCUAGCAUGUGCGCGAGUCAUUGGGAAAUUACUAAACCUAAAGGCGCAAUGAAAGUGAAGGUCCGCCGCCCCGUGCGCGCGGACCACGGGAAGAUGGGCGGUCUUCGGGCCGCCCCGCACUCCCGGGGCGUCUCGUUCUCAUUGCGAGAAGAGGCGCACCAAGAGCGUACACGCUGGGACCCGAAAGAUGGUGAACUAUGCCUGGUCAGGACGAAGUCAGGGGAAACCCUGAUGGAGGUCCGUAGCGAUUCUGACGUGCAAAUCGAUCGUCGGAACUGGGUAUAGGGGCGAAAGACUAAUCGAACCAUCUAGUAGCUGGUUCCCUCCGAAGUUUCCCUCAGGAUAGCUGGCGCUCGUUCAAUACGAGUCUCAUCCGGUAAAGCGAAUGAUUAGAGGCAUUGGGGUCGAAACGGCCUCAACYUAUUCUYAAACUUUAAAUGGGUGAGAUCUCCGGCUUGCUCGAACUACUGAAGCCGCGAGAAACGGAUCAGAGUGCCAAGUGGGCCAUUUUUG
rnacentral:rRNA from 1 species